AUCUGGUGAGGCGUUGUCCAUCCUUUCCCUCUGUGCGUGCCUCCAUCCAUCGCCGAUGCAUCCUCGUAGAAGUAGAAAGAAGCAGCAACAUGUGCACGACGACAGAACCCCGCCCGCAGUCUCCGGAGCGAAACAAGGAGAAGCAGCAGUAUCCCCUAUUUCUCGCUCCCCGACGCCUCUAAACCCUACAACACCCAGAACCACCAUCGGCCACCCAUGGUGCACUCACUCCCAACUCCCCACCCGCGGACAUGAUCCCCCACCGCCGAUGGAGGACCCAGGAUUGUCGACCGCCGCCCCUGAUCCUCCUCCGCUCCUGAUCCUCCUCCGCCCCCACCGGAGGACGAUAGGUGGGUGCUCCUGCCGGCCAGCGACGUCGAGGGUGCCUACGCGCCCAAGGUCUUCCACUGGGAGGACCUGCAGCAGGACCUCACGCACCUCUGGAACCUCUACGCCGUGCUCCAAACCGCCAGGGACGGCAAGACGCACCUCGCCGCGCUCGUCGAAUCCGCACUAGAGUCCUGAAUUUGGCAGAUUGGAUUCGUUCCGAUUGUGCUUCGAGUGUGAGAAAAAGAGAGAACCCACAUUCCCAAUUCUCGACGACACAACUCCUGAAAUCGAUUGAGUUCUAUCCAUGGAGUCAUUCUCCCAGGGACGGGGCUUUAUUGUGAAAACCAAUCUGUACUUAUCAAUUGUCAAUUGUCCUAUCAAUUGUCAUGCUAUAUAAUAAUUUUCUUUUGGUACUGUGCAGUUAAUGACAUCACAUUAUCAAAACAAUGGGGAGCUAUGGAUGCCUUGUAUCAACAGUUGGCUAAUUCGAUCAGAUUUCCGUCCUCAAAUGGCUAUCUCAUAAUCGAAGCAAAUGGUGGUCUGAAUCAUCAACGACUUUCUAUCUGCGAUGCAGUUGCUGUGGCCAGCUUGCUUAAUGCAACUCUUGUGAUCCCAACAUUUCAUUUGAAUAGCGUCUGGCGUGAUCCUAGGUGACUUUUUGUCUGAACCGUGAUCCAUUGUUUCCUUACAUAAAGAGUGCCUUUUUAAUCUGUGCUUGCCUGUCUUUUUUAUUGGGAAAUACUUGUUAAAGUCCGAAUCAGUUUGUAGAAGUUCUAAAGUGAAUGUUUGUUAAUAGAGACAAUAUUAAACUGCAAACAUUCUGAUUUGAGAAUGAUCAUUGGUCGAGUGAUAAAUCCUGAGGCAAACAGAAGGGAUGGAAAAUGCCCUCUUACUCCUCUAGAGGUUAGGACCUAAUCCUACAGGUACCUCACACUUCCUAAUCCUACUGUGUCGCAUCUCGCCCCGCUUCGUCUUCACCCUGAUUCAUUUACGUUUAUAGCUACACCCGCACCAGCCUACCACUGUGCUCUCCCCAAUCUGAACCUCCGAGUAACACUAGACUAGGUUGCCAUGUCAAAAAUCCAAAUGGUUCGGUGGUUGUUAGGUGCUGUAAAUAUAAUUAUGUUAUGUGGUUCCUGAAUUGUUUGAGUCGGAGGCUUCUACGAUUUAAGCCAACUGUGAUGUAUAAUGAACUGUUCGUAUAUUUUGACCUAUAAAACUGCACAGAAGGUAUAGGUUGUUUGAUUUGUAUACUUGGUGUCAUCCUUUGAAUAAUAGGGGAUAGCUGUUUUGGGACCCAAAUGACUUUAUUUAGUGGUAACAUUUGGUGAGAUAGCAUGAUUCGGUUAUCAUCAAAAUAGAAUUGCCCUCCCGAGGAUCUCUGCAAUUUGGCUGUUUUGAGGGACCGGGACCAAUCGCAUUGUCUUUCGUUGCUGAUGGUUGCUCUCUAUUCAUCAUUUUUGUGAUGUCACAUUUUUUCGCUCCAUAUUAUAAGGUCUACAGAGAGCCAUCAAACAAGGCUUGCAUUCGGAAAAUAUAUACAGAGUUUGUUUGAUUCAGAUUUUUAUGCAGAAGUCUUUAGAUGUAUUUUGUUUCCUUUUCAAUAUGAGUUUGCAGUAAGCUUUGUGAAAAACUUGGAAAGUAUGGUCUCGUGAAACCUAAACAAGUUGUGUGAAGUCUUGUUACUCCGUUACGUAUGAAUGAGAGGAUGAACAACAAUGUCGCUCCAAAAAAGCAACCAGAUGUGUUCGAGGGCGCCUUGCUAUCUUAACGAGAUAAAUCCAAGAUUGAACGAAGAAAGAGAAAAAAUGAGAGGAAAAAAGAGGUAUUAUGUUCACUAUUUUCUUCUUUACAUGAGCAUCAUACAAAUUUAAAG